rnacentral:lncRNA from 1 species
GAUUUAAGACUAAAAACAGAUGUGUGUGAAUCGUCAAAUGUACUUAGGGUCACAAGUGCAAAUAAAAAAAUCAACAAAUGUUUUUUUUUUCCUGUAAAUACGGCGGUGAAGUUAGUUUCAGGUUGGAUAUAUUUUCCUGUAAAUACGGCGGUGAAGUUAGUUUCAGGUUGGAUAUAUCUUCCUGUAAAUACGGCGGUGAAGUUAGUUUUAGGUUGGAUAUAUUUUCCUGUAAAUACGGCGGUGAAGUUAGUUUCAGGUUGGAUAUAUUUCCCUGUAAAUACGGCGG